rnacentral:rRNA from 1 species
UCUCAGAUGAGCCUAGGUCGGAUUAGCUAGUUGGUGAGGUAAUGGCUCACCAAGGCGACGAUCCGUAACUGGUCUGAGAGGAUGAUCAGUCACACUGGAACUGAGACACGGUCCAGACUCCUACGGGAGGCAGCAGUGGGGAAUAUUGGACAAUGGGCGAAAGCCUGAUCCAGCCAUGCCGCGUGUGUGAAGAAGGUCUUCGGAUUGUAAAGCACUUUAAGUUGGGAGGAAGGGCAUUAACCUAAUACGUUAGUGUUUUGACGUUACCGACAGAAUAAGCACCGGCUAACUCUGUGCCAGCAGCCGCGGUAAUACAGAGGGUGCAAGCGUUAAUCGGAAUUACUGGGCGUAAAGCGCGCGUAGGUGGUUCGUUAAGUUGGAUGUGAAAGCCCCGGGCUCAACCUGGGAACUGCAUUCAAAACUGACGAGCUAGAGUAUGGUAAAGGGUGGGGGAAUUUCCUGUGUAGCGGUGAAAUGCGUAGAUAUAGGAAGGAACACCAG